CUUUGUCAGCAACUGGAAAACUUACAGAAAACUAACUGUGAAAUGGCUCAGAAUUACGAAACUCAGCUUUGUGCGCUUAAAUCUCAAUUUUUGAAGCUGACACAUAGUUAUGACAAGCUAUUAAAACAAAAAAAUCGUCAAAGUAGAGAAAUAAGUAAAGAAAGCCCAGAGACAUCAUUUCAACUGAACAAUUUAAACAAGAAACUGGAGAACAUAGAGGCAAGCUUUUCGGAGAUGAGAAAUGAGCUGCAAUCACGGGAUGCUCUCUGGAGAAAGAUACAACUGGAAUGCCAACAGUUGCGUGCAGAACUACUGAAAAUCAGAGAGCAUAAGGACAUGCACGAAAUGCAUCAAUCAUCCUCUGUACAACUUACUGAGCAAUCAGAAAAUAAAAAUGCUGAUUUAUUACUACAGGCACAGAGUCAAAACAGCCAACGAGAAGUGCUAAGCAAGGUACUUCAUGCUAUUAAGUGUUUCUAGAUCUUACACUGCAAUUUUGGAUUUUGAAAAGAGAGUGCGAAGUAUUGGCCUUGGUCAUGUGAAGAGGGGAGAUGGAGGAUAAACUAUAGUUUUGGAGAAUAUGGAGUUUUCAUAUAUGAAAAAAGUUUUCAUACAUGGUUAUUGUAUAGUUGUGCA
rnacentral:lncRNA from 1 species